ACACUCGUUUCGGAAGCUGAUUUUUCGUUGUGGCAUUCAUCAGACUAAAAAUAGUUUUUGGAAUGAGUUUAAGCAGCCGAUGAAAUUGUUUCAUGACGUUCAAACGUUGGUGGAUCCACUGAUUCCGGUUGACUUGUGCAAUCCUUCGGAAAUCCUGCCAUAAAACAAGAAGAAACAAAAUCGUUAGUAUACUCUUCGUCCAAUAUCAACACUCGUUUCGGAAGCUGAUUUUUCGUUGUGGAAUUAAUCAGACUAAAAAUAGUUUUUGGAAUGAGUUUAAGCAGCCGAUGAAAUUGUUUCAUGACGUUCAAACGUUGGUGGAUCCACUGAUUCCGGUUGACUUGUGCAAUCCUUCGGAAAUCCUGCCAUAAAACAAGAAGAAACAAAAUCGUUAGUAUACUCUUCGUCCAAUAUCAACACUCGUUUCGGAAGCUGAUUUUUCGUUGUGGAAUUAAUCAGACUAAAAAUAGUUUUUGGAAUGAGUUUAAGCAGCCGAUGAAAUUGUUUCAUGACGUUCAAACGUUGGUGGAUCCACUGAUUCCGGAUGACUUUUGCAAUCCUUCGGAAAUCCUGCCAUAAAACAAGAAGAAACAAAAUCGUUAGUAUACUCUACGUCCAUUAUGAACACUCAUUUUGGGGGAUAAGUUUUCGUUGUGGCAUUCAUCAGACUAAAAAUAGUUUUUGGAAUGAGUUUUAGCAGCCGAUGAAAUUGUUUCAUGACGUUCAAACGUUGGAGGAUCCACUGUUUCCGGAUGACUUGUGCAAUCCUUCGGAAAUCCUGCCAUAAAACAAGAAGAAACAAAAUCUUUUAGCAGCCGAUGAAAUUGUUUCAUGACGUUCAAACGUUGGUGGAUCCACUGAUUCCGGAUGACUUAUGCAAUCCUUCGGAAAUCCUGCCAUAAAACAAGAAGAAACAAAAUCGUUAGUAUACACUCUACGUCCAUUAUGAACACUCAUUUUGGGGGAUAAGUUUUCGUUGUGGCAUUCAUCAGACUAAAAAUAGUUUUUGGAAUGAGUUUUAGCAGCCGAUGAAAUUGUUUCAUGACGUUCAAACGUUGGUGGAUCCACUGAUUCCGGUUGACUUGUGCAAUCCUUCGGAAAUCCUGCCAUAAAACAAGAAGAAACAAAAUCGUUAGUAUACUCUUCGUCCAAUAUCAACACUCGUUUCGGAAGCUGAUUUUUCGUUGUGGAAUUAAUCAGACUAAAAAUAGUUUUUGGAAUGAGUUUUAGCAGCCGAUGAAAUUGUUUCAUGACGUUCAAACGAAACAAAAUCGUUAGUAUACUCUACGUCCAAUAUCAACACUCGUUUCGGAAGCUGAUUUUUCGUUGUGGAAUUAAUCAGACUAAAAAUAGUUUUUGGAAUGAGUUUAAGCAGCCGAUGAAAUUGUUUCAUGACGUUCAAACGUUGGUGGAUCCACUGAUUCCAGAUGACUUGUGCAAUCCUUCGGAAAUCCUGCCAUAAAACAAGAAGAAACAAAAUCGUUAGUAUACUCUACGUCCAUUAUGAACACUCAUUUUGGGGGAUAAGUUUUCGUUGUGGCAUUCAUCAGACUAAAAAUAGUUUUUGGAAUGAGUUUUAGCAGCCGAUGAAAUUGUUUCAUGACGUUCAAACGUUGGUGGAUCCACUGUUUCC